CGGCGGACGGGUGAGUAAUACCUAGGAAUCUGCCUGAUAGUGGGGGAUAACGUUCGGAAACGGACGCUAAUACCGCAUACGUCCUACGGGAGAAAGCAGGGGACCUUCGGGCCUUGCGCUAUCAGAUGAGCCUAGGUCGGAUUAGCUAGUUGGUGAGGUAAUGGCUCACCAAGGCUACGAUCCGUAACUGGUCUGAGAGGAUGAUCAGUCACACUGGAACUGAGACACGGUCCAG
rnacentral:rRNA from 1 species